rnacentral:piRNA from 1 species
UAACUGAGUGUAGUUGAAGGCUU